GAAGGAGCGCUUUUAUUAGAUCAAAACCAAUCGGUGGCGAAUCGCCGUCACCGUACUCCUUGGUGACUCUGAAUAACUUGUUGCUGAUCGCACGGUCUCGAACCGGCGACGCAUCUUUCAAAUGUCUGCCUUAUCAACUGUCGAUGGUAGGUUCUGCGCCUACCAUGGUUGUAACGGGUAACGGGGAAUCAGGGUUCGAUUCCGGAGAGGGAGCCUGAGAAACGGCUACCACAUCCAAGGAAGGCAGCAGGCGCGCAAAUUACCCACUCCCGGCACGGGGAGGUAGUGACGAAAAAUAACGAUACGGGACUCAUCCGAGGCCCCGUAAUCGGAAUGAGUACACUCUAAACCCUUUAACGAGGAUCAAUUGGAGGGCCAGUCUGGUGCCAGCAGCCGCGGUAAUUCCAGCUCCAAUAGCGUAU
rnacentral:rRNA from 1 species